rnacentral:lncRNA from 1 species
UGUGAAUUACAGACACUUGAUGAAUUUACAUGUAAUUGGUAAAAGUAAAAAGUGUAAAAUAAAAGAGAAAGAGAAAAGUGGAAUGAAACCUGUAUGGUCCGAAAUGUAUCUGUAUUAACAUGUAUAUUGCAUCAAGUAUCUCGUUAGGCUUUUUAUCUCUGAGGGAUAUUUGUUCCCCUUGCCUCUUAGGGUAUCUAUUUCCCCCUCCCCUAUUUGGUCUAGAAAGACGU